UUUGGUUAAGUUAGAAAGGGCGCACGGUGGAUGCCUUGACACUAGGAGUCGAUGAAGGACGGGACUAACGCCGAUAUGCUUCGGGGAGCUGUAAGUAAGCUUUGAUCCGAAGAUUUCCGAAUGGGGAAACCCACCAUACGUAAUGGUAUGGUAUCCUUACCUGAAUACAUAGGGUAAGGAAGACAGACCCAGGGAACUGAAACAUCUAAGUACCUGGAGGAAGAGAAAGCAAAUGCGAUUUCCUGAGUAGCGGCGAGCGAAACGGAACAUAGCCCAAACCAAGAGGCUUGCCUCUUGGGGUUGUAGGACAUUCUAUACGGAGUUACAAAGGAACGAGGUAGACGAAGCGACCUGGAAAGGUCCGUCGUAGAGGGUAACAACCCCGUAGUCGAAACUUCGUUCUCUCUUGAAUGUAUCCUGAGUACGGCGGAACACGUGAAAUUCCGUCGGAAUCUGGGAGGACCAUCUCCCAAGGCUAAAUACUCCCUAGUGAUCGAUAGUGAACCAGUACCGUGAGGAAAGGUGAAAAGCACCCCGAAGGGGAGUGAAAGAGAUCCUGAAACCGUGUGCCUACAAAUAGUCAGAGCCCGUUAACGGGUGAUGGCGUGCCUUUUGUAGAAUGAACCGGCGAGUUACGAUCCCGUGCGAGGUUAAGCUGAAGAGGCGGAGCCGCAGCGAAAGCGAGUCUGAAUAGGGCGUUUAGUACGUGGUCGUAGACCCGAAACCAGGUGAUCUACCCAUGUCCAGGGUGAAGUUCAGGUAACACUGAAUGGAGGCCCGAACCCACGCACGUUGAAAAGUGCGGGGAUGAGGUGUGGGUAGCGGAGAAAUUCCAAUCGAACCUGGAGAUAGCUGGUUCUCCCGAAAUAGCUUUAGGGCUAGCCUUAAGUGUAAGAGUCUUGGAGGUAGAGCACUGAUUGGACUAGGGGUCCUCAUCGGAUUACCGAAUUCAGUCAAACUCCGAAUGCCAAUGACUUAUCCUUAGGAGUCAGACUGCGAGUGAUAAGAUCCGUAGUCAAAAGGGAAACAGCCCAGACCGCCAGCUAAGGUCCCAAAGUGUGUAUUAAGUGGAAAAGGAUGUGGAGUUGCUUAGACAACUAGGAUGUUGGCUUAGAAGCAGCCACCAUUUAAAGAGUGCGUAAUAGCUCACUAGUCGAGUGACUCUGCGCCGAAAAUGUACCGGGGCUAAAUACACCACCGAAGCUGCGGAUUGAUACCGAAUGGUAUCAGUGGUAGGGGAGCGUUCUAAGGACAGUGAAGUCAGACCGGAAGGACUGGUGGAGUGCUUAGAAGUGAGAAUGCCGGUAUGAGUAGCGAAAGACGGGUGAGAAUCCCGUCCACCGAAUGCCUAAGGUUUCCUGAGGAAGGCUCGUCCGCUCAGGGUUAGUCAGGACCUAAGCCGAGGCCGACAGGCGUAGGCGAUGGACAACAGGUUGAUAUUCCUGUACCACCUCUUUAUCGUUUGAGCAAUGGAGGGACGCAGAAGGAUAGAAGAAGCGUGCGAUUGGUUGUGCACGUCCAAGCAGUUAGGCUGAUAAGUAGGCAAAUCCGCUUAUCAUAAAGGCUGAGCUGUGAUGGGGAAGCUCCUUAUGGAGCGAAGUCUUUGAUUCCCCGCUGCCAAGAAAAGCUUCUAGCGAGAUAAAAGGUGCCUGUACCGCAAACCGACACAGGUAGGCGAGGAGAGAAUCCUAAGGUGUGCGAGAGAACUCUGGUUAAGGAACUCGGCAAAAUGACCCCGUAACUUCGGGAGAAGGGGUGCUUUCUUAACGGAAAGCCGCAGUGAAUAGGCCCAAGCGACUGUUUAGCAAAAACACAGCUCUCUGCGAAGCCGUAAGGCGAAGUAUAGGGGGUGACACCUGCCCGGUGCUGGAAGGUUAAGGAGAGGGGUUAGCGUAAGCGAAGCUCUGAACUGAAGCCCCAGUAAACGGCGGCCGUAACUAUAACGGUCCUAAGGUAGCGAAAUUCCUUGUCGGGUAAGUUCCGACCCGCACGAAAGGUGUAACGAUUUGGGCACUGUCUCAACCAGAGACUCGGUGAAAUUAUAGUACCUGUGAAGAUGCAGGUUACCCGCGACAGGACGGAAAGACCCCGUGGAGCUUUACUGUAGCCUGAUAUUGAAUUUUGGUACAGUUUGUACAGGAUAGGCGGGAGCCAUUGAAACCGGAGCGCUAGCUUCGGUGGAGGCGCUGGUGGGAUACCGCCUGACUGUAUUGAAAUUCUAACCUACGGGUCUUAUCGACCCGGGAGACAGUGUCAGGUGGGCAGUUUGACUGGGGCGGUCGCCUCCUAAAGUGUAACGGAGGCGCCCAAAGGUUCCCUCAGAAUGGUUGGAAAUCAUUCGUAGAGUGCAAAGGCAUAAGGGAGCUUGACUGCGAGACCUACAAGUCGAGCAGGGACGAAAGUCGGGCUUAGUGAUCCGGUGGUUCCGCAUGGAAGGGCCAUCGCUCAACGGAUAAAAGCUACCCCGGGAUAACAGGCUUAUCUCCCCCAAGAGUCCACAUCGACGGGGAGGUUUGGCACCUCGAUGUCGGCUCAUCGCAUCCUGGGGCUGUAGUCGGUCCCAAGGGUUGGGCUGUUCGCCCAUUAAAGCGGUACGCGAGCUGGGUUCAGAACGUCGUGAGACAGUUCGGUCCCUAUCCGUCGUGGGCGUAGGAAAUUUGAGAGGAGCUGUCCUUAGUACGAGAGGACCGGGAUGGACGCACCGCUGGUGUACCAGUUGUUCUGCCAAGGGCAUAGCUGGGUAGCUAUGUGCGGAAGGGAUAAGUGCUGAAAGCAUCUAAGCAUGAAGCCCCCCUCAAGAUGAGAUUUCCCAUAGCGUAAGCUAGUAAGAUCCCUGAAAGAUGAUCAGGUUGAUAGGUUCGAGGUGGAAGCAUGGUGACAUGUGGAGCUGACGAAUACUAAUAGAUCGAGGACUUAACCAUAUAA
rnacentral:rRNA from 1 species